AUGUGUUUUACAUUUUGUUCCAGCGUGCUCGUUGGGAGGUCUCUGCUCUACUUCAUGUCUGACGAUGGGUGCAUCCUAGAGUACGACUUUGCACGGCACGACCUGACUGUUUUCGACCCACCGAACUAUGAGUCGAUCUACGAUGGCCGAUAUAACAUCAUGCUGGCGGAGGACGGUGGACUGGGAGUUACCCAAGAGAUGAGUCCGCAUCUCCCGAUGGGUACUGAGCCGGGUCACUUACUUGCAAAAUUUGCUCCCAGAUGGUGCUCUCGUGGAGCCAGCAAGUUCAUUGUAUGUGUUGGGCUUUGCUGA
rnacentral:rRNA from 1 species